UUGGAGGGCAAGUCUGGUGCCAGCAGCCGCGGUAAUUCCAGCUCCAAUAGCGUAUAUUAAAGUUGUUGCAGUUAAAAAGCUCGUAGUUGAAUUUCGGGAUCAAUACGUCGGUCGUGCUUUUUUGGUACGCACUGGCGUCAUUGGUUUCUCCUUUCUGACGAACCAUGAUGUCAUUAAUUUGGUGUUAUGGGGAGUUAGGACUGUUACUUUGAAAAAAUUAGAGUGUUUAAAGCAGGCAUUAGCUUGAAUACAUUAGCAUGGAAUAAUGAAAUAGGACGUUCGAUCCUAUUUUGUUGGUUUCUAGGAUCAACGUAAUGAUUAAUAGGGAUAGUUGGGGGCAUUAGUAUUCAAUUGUCAGAGGUGAAAUUCUUGGAUUUAUUGAAGACUAACUACUGCGAAAGCAUUUGCCAAGGAUGUUUUCAUUAAUCAAGAACGAAAGUUAGGGGAUCGAAGACGAUCAGAUACCGUCGUUGUCUUAACCAUAAACUAUGCCGACUAGGGAUCGGAUGAUGUUAAUUUUUUAAUGACUCAUUCGGCGCCUUACGGGAAAC
rnacentral:rRNA from 1 species